GAGCAAGCUCCUCGACCGACAUCGAGCUUCUCUCUGACGAUGAGCAGGAUGUUUAGGUUUACUAGGUUGUCUUUCUUAUAUUAUCAUUUACUUUAAUUGCUUAUGAUUGUCUUUGAUGCAUGAAACUCUUACCUCGUGUAUUGUUUAGUGUAGCAUUUUGUAAGACAAUACACAUUUUUGUAAUAGUACAAUAGCUAUGCAAUGAAGUUUUUCUUAUAUUCAUUAUUUCUGUCUUGUGCUCUGGCCUUCUUAUUCUUUUAUCA
rnacentral:lncRNA from 1 species